AUUCACACGAUGCAUUUUCUUUUCUUAUCACCAAACUGUUUUGAAAGAUAAAAGUACUUCCUGAAUAUGUGGAUGGUGAGCCACGUGAAUGGAAGACAUGGAGAUAUGGACUGUUAACACCUUGUCAAACAUUUAUUGUCCCUUCCACCUCUAAACUUCUGUGAUAAUAGGUGAACAGGACCCACGUGGUGCAGAAUACUGCGAUACACACUGCGGAAUAAUUCAGUGCAGAACAACACGUGGAUUGCUCAGUACAACUUGUUCAUCACAUCCUCCUGUUCACUGAAGAAUUAUGGAAAUAUUCUCUGAGCUGCUUUCCUCCCUGCCCAACGAGUCAUCUCUGUGUGAAAGGCCAAGCUUAUAAAUCCUGGGACUGGGAGUUGGAGAGGGGAGACUGGAGAGAGUAGGAAGAAGAAAGAGACAUUAUACAAAUGCAAGCUGUUGUCACAACAAUGAUAAGAAAUCAGGAGUCGAAAGAUGUGGAGUAAGGGGGAAUUUCAGAGAAACCACAAAACACAAAAUAGGAAACAGAGACAGGAGAAGAUUGCUAUGACAAAAUUGCAGAAGGUGAAAUCUUUGGCAGCCUCUUAUUUCUCUGGAGAAUAUGAUAUUGUCAGGCUGAGGUGGAAGAAUCACAUGGUCAUACUGUUGAAGAGGUCUUGAAACAUUGGGCUUUCCUCUACAAGCGGAAGGAUAGCACUGGCAGCCAUCCACUGGCCCAGCAAUAUCCUGGAUUGAGACGAUAUCAUUUGCAUUACUUGCUGAAUGAAACAUAGUGAAAAUGACUGCAGAUAACCUCAACUAAGUCCAAGAUAUCAUUUUCAAAUCUGGACCAGCCCUUGCCAUCUAGACUGAACAGAGAUUCCAGUUUCCAGGAGAGUAGAUGGAGUAAUGAUAAAAGCACCUCCCAAAACUUUUGCCUUGUGAUUGGCAAAAAAGAGAGACAUCAAUAUGGACUGAAGUCACAGAAUGAGUUUCCUGGGAGAGAUGCUUCUUGAUAUGACCCUAGAAGCUCCAUCAAAACUUAUAAAAUCUUGGGAAGAGGAACUGUGGCCCAUCACUGAUCAUUUCAUCUAUUAAGUGACCACUUAUUGUCUUAUAAUAGGAGAUGUUCUGGAAACAUGCAUUGAAUCGAAGUGGCUUUGAGGAAGCAUGAAGAGAAAACAGGAUGGCAUCCUUUUGGCACCAUUUCUUAUGCUAUAAUAAGGAUUCCUUCUGUUUACACAUAAAACAGAAGAGUUUAAUCACCCCAGCAAUCUUUAACUUGGUAAUGAAGGCCAUAAAUUAAAUUUUAAGCAAAGUUAAAGAAGAUGAGAUGAAAUAUAAAACAAAAACAUCAUCAGAAUCUGCCCAGGAACAAUAUUCUUGACACCAAACCAUGACAUUAUGGGGCUCAGUUGUUUGUUUCUAGGGCAGCCCCUUGUUUUAUGUGCCAAAUAGCAUUUCCCUAAAUAAAACUGCAUGGAACAAAA
rnacentral:lncRNA from 1 species